rnacentral:rRNA from 1 species
AUUGAACGCUGGCGGCAGGCCUAACACAUGCAAGUCGAGCGGAUGAAGGGAGCUUGCUCCUGGAUUCAGCGGCGGACGGGUGAGUAAUGCCUAGGAAUCUGCCUGGUAGUGGGGGAUAACGUCCGGAAACGGGCGCUAAUACCGCAUACGUCCUGAGGGUGAAAGUGGGGGAUCUUCGGACCUCACGCUAUCAGAGGGGCCUAGGUCGGAGUAGCUAGUUGGUGGGGUAAAGGCCUACCAAGGCGACGAUCCGUAACUGGUCUGAGAGGAUGAUCAGUCACACGGGAACUGAGACACGGUCCAGACUCCUACGGGAGGCAGCAGUGGGGAAUAUUGGACAAUGGGCGAAAGCCUGAUCCAGCCAGGCCGCGUGUGUGAAGAAGGUCUUCGGAUUGUAAAGCACUUUAAGUUGGGAGGAAGGGCAGUAAGUUAAUACCUUGCUGUUUUGACGUUACCAACAGAAUAAGCACCGGCUAACUUCGUG